AUGAACGCUGGCGGCGUGCCUAAUACAUGCCAGUCGAGCGAACAGAUGAGGAGCUUGCUCCUCUGACGUUAGCGGCGGACGGGUGAGUAACACGUGGAUAACCUACCUAUAAGACUGGGAUAACUUCGGGAAACCGGAGCUAAUACCGGAUAAUAUAUUGAACCGCAUGGUUCAAUAGUGAAAGACGGUUUUGCUGUCACUUAUAGAUGGAUCCGCGCCGCAUUAGCUAGUUGGUAAGGUAACGGCUUACCAAGGCAACGAUGCGUAGCCGACCUGAGAGGGUGAUCGGCCACACUGGAACUGAGACACGGUCCAGACUCCUACGGGAGGCAGCAGUAGGGAAUCUUCCGCAAUGGGCGAAAGCCUGACGGAGCAACGCCGCGUGAGUGAUGAAGGUCUUCGGAUCGUAAAACUCUGUUAUUAGGGAAGAACAAAUGUGUAAAUAACUAUGCACGUCUUGACGGUACCUAAUCAGAAAGCCACGGCUAACUACGUG
rnacentral:rRNA from 1 species